AACGAACGCUGGCGGCAGGCUUAACACAUGCAAGUCGAGCGAGGUCUUCGGACCUAGCGGCGGACGGGUGAGUAACGCGUGGGAACGUGCCCUUUGCUACGGAAUAGUCCCGGGAAACUGGGUUUAAUACCGUAUGUGCCCUCCAUUUUGGUGAUGGUUGGGGAAAGAUUUAUCGGCAAAGGAUCGGCCCGCGUUGGAUUAGGUAGUUGGUGGGGUAAUGGCCUACCAAGCCGACGAUCCAUAGCUGGUUUGAGAGGAUGAUCAGCCACACUGGGACUGAGACACGGCCCAGACUCCUACGGGAGGCAGCAGUGGGGAAUCUUAGACAAUGGGGGCAACCCUGAUCUAGCCAUGCCGCGUGAGUGAUGAAGGCCCUAGGGUUGUAAAGCUCUUUCAGCUGGGAAGAUAAUGACGGUACCAGCAGAAGAAGCCCCGGCUAACUCCGUGCCAGCCGCCGCCGUAACAC
rnacentral:rRNA from 1 species